rnacentral:rRNA from 1 species
GAUGAACGCUGGCGGCGUGCCUAAUACAUGCAAGUCGAGCGAACAGGCGAGGAGCUUGCUCCUCUGACGUUAGCGGCGGACGGGUGAGUAACACGUGGAUAACCUACCUAUAAGACUGGGAUAACUUCGGGAAACCGGAGCUAAUACCGGAUAACAUGUUGAACCGCAUGGUUCAACAGUGAAAGACGGUUUUGCUGUCACUUAUAGAUGGAUCCGCGUCGCAUUAGCUAGUUGGUAAGGUAACGGCUUACCAAGGCAACGAUGCGUAGCCGACCUGAGGGGGUGAUCGGCCACACUGGAACUGAGACACGGUCCAGGCUCCUACGGGAGGCAGCAGUAGGGAAUCUUCCGCAAUGGGCGAAAGCCUGACGGAGCAACGCCGCGUGAGUGAAGAAGGUCUUCGGAUCGUAAAACUCUGUUAUUAGGGAAGAACAAAUGUGUAAGUAACUAUGCACGUCUUGACGGUACCUAAUCAGAAAGCCACGGCUAACUACGUG